AGAGUUUGAUCAUGGCUCAGAUUGAACGCUGGCGGCAGGCCUAACACAUGCAAGUCGAACGGUAACAGGAAACAGCUUGCUGUUUCGCUGACGAGUGGCGGACGGGUGAGUAAUGUCUGGGAAACUGCCUGAUGGAGGGGGAUAACUACUGGAAACGGUAGCUAAUACCGCAUAACGUCGCAAGACCAAAGAGGGGGGACCUUCGGGCCUCUUGCCAUCAGAUGUGCCCAGAUGGGAUUAGCUAGUAGGUGGGGUAACGGCUCACCUAGGCGACGAUCCCUAGCUGGUCUGAGAGGAUGACCAGCCACACUGGAACUGAGACACGGUCCAGACUCCUACGGGAGGCAGCAGUGGGGAAUAUUGCACAAUGGGCGCAAGCCUGAUGCAGCCAUGCCGCGUGUAUGAAAGAAGGCCUUCGGGUUGUAAAGUACUUUCAGCGGGGAGGAAGGGAGUAAAGUUAAUACCUUUGCUCAUUGACGUUACCCGCAGAAGAAGCACCGGCUAACUCCGUGCCAGCAGCCGCGGUAAUACGGAGGGUGCAAGCGUUAAUCGGAAUUACUGGGCGUAAAGCGCACGCAGGCGGUUUGUUAAGUCAGAUGUGAAAUCCCCGGGCUCAACCUGGGAACUGCAUCUGAUACUGGCAAGCUUGAGUCUCGUAGAGGGGGGUAGAAUUCCAGGUGUAGCGGUGAAAUGCGUAGAGAUCUGGAGGAAUACCGGUGGCGAAGGCGGCCCCCUGGACGAAGACUGACGCUCAGGUGCGAAAGCGUGGGGAGCAAACAGGAUUAGAUACCCUGGUAGUCCACGCCGUAAACGAUGUCGACUUGGAGGUUGUGCCCUUGAGGCGUGGCUUCCGGAGCUAACGCGUUAAGUCGACCGCCUGGGGAGUACGGCCGCAAGGUUAAAACUCAAAUGAAUUGACGGGGGCCCGCACAAGCGGUGGAGCAUGUGGUUUAAUUCGAUGCAACGCGAAGAACCUUACCUGGUCUUGACAUCCACGGAAGUUUUCAGAGAUGAGAAUGUGCCUUCGGGAACCGUGAGACAGGUGCUGCAUGGCUGUCGUCAGCUCGUGUUGUGAAAUGUUGGGUUAAGUCCCGCAACGAGCGCAACCCUUAUCCUUUGUUGCCAGCGGUCCGGCCGGGAACUCAAAGGAGACUGCCAGUGAUAAACUGGAGGAAGGUGGGGAUGACGUCAAGUCAUCAUGGCCCUUACGACCAGGGCUACACACGUGCUACAAUGGCGCAUACAAAGAGAAGCGACCUCGCGAGAGCAAGCGGACCUCAUAAAGUGCGUCGUAGUCCGGAUUGGAGUCUGCAACUCGACUCCAUGAAGUCGGAAUCGCUAGUAAUCGUGGAUCAGAAUGCCACGGUGAAUACGUUCCCGGGCCUUGUACACACCGCCCGUCACACCAUGGGAGUGGGUUGCAAAAGAAGUAGGUAGCUUAACCUUCGGGAGGGCGCUUACCACUUUGUGAUUCAUGACUGGGGUGAAGUCGUAACAAGGUAACCGUAGGGGAACCUGCGGUUGGAUCACCU
rnacentral:rRNA from 1 species